rnacentral:lncRNA from 1 species
CAAUCCCAAAGUAAUAGCUAAUUAUUUGUUUCUUCACAGAAACAUAAGAGCUUUCAUCAUUUUUCCUCAUUCUCUCAUCUCUUUCUUUGUCCUUCACUUAUUCACUCUCUUCUAUGGUCUUUGUUGUUGUUUGUUUGCUAAUUAAAUGACUUCCAUUUUUAUUUCUACUGAUUUGUGUUUUUCUGGGGGUGGUUUGUUGUACUUACUUUU